GCCGCCGCCACAGAGCCGGGUCAAGAUGGCGGCGCCCGCGGUCGUGCGGGCCUUGAGGGCACUGCCCCACAUCUGCUCUGUCCCCAAUGGCACCCGGCAGCUGCACAGCACCCCCCCCUGCUUCAAGGCUCGUGCCGCGCGGGUGCGCGUGGGGAAGGGGGACAAGCCAGUGACCUACGAGCAGGCCCAUGGGCCCCACUACAUCGGGCACCGCAAGGGGUGGCUCUCACUGCACACCGGUGG